rnacentral:rRNA from 1 species
AACAGGAUUAGAUACCCUGGUAGUCCACGCCCUAAACGAUGUCUACUAGUUGUCGGGUCUUAAUUGACUUGGUAACGCAGCUAACGCGUGAAGUAGACCGCCUGGGGAGUACGGUCGCAAGAUUAAAACUCAAAGGAAUUGACGGGGACCCGCACAAGCGGUGGAUGAUGUGGAUUAAUUCGAUGCAACGCGAAAAACCUUACCUACCCUUGACAUGUCAGGAAUCCUUGAGAGAUCGAGGAGUGCCCGAAAGGGAACCUGAACACAGGUGCUGCAUGGCUGUCGUCAGCUCGUGUCGUGAGAUGUUGGGUUAAGUCCCGCAACGAGCGCAACCCUUGUCAUUAGUUGCUACGAAAGGGCACUCUAAUGAGACUGCCGGUGACAAACCGGAGGAAGGUGGGGAUGACGUCAAGUCCUCAUGGCCCUUAUGGGUAGGGCUUCACACGUCAUACAAUGGUACAUACAGAGGGCCGCCAACCCGCGAGGGGGAGCUAAUCCCAGAAAGUGUAUCGUAGUCCGGAUCGCAGUCUGCAACUCGACUGCGUGAAGUUGGAAUCGCUAGUAAUCGCGGAUCAGCAUGUCGCGGUGAAUACGUUCCCGGGUCUUGUACACACCGCCCGUCACACCAUGGGAGCGGGUUUUACCAGAAGUAGGUAGCUUAACCGCAAGGAGGGCGCUUACCACGGUAGGAUUCGUGACUGGGGUGAAGUCGUAACAAGGUAACC